UACGGCGAAACUGCGAAUGGCUCAUUAUAUAAGUUAUCGUUUAUUUGAUAGCACCUUACUACUUGGAUAACCGUGGUAAUUCUAGAGCUAAUACAUGCUAAAAAUCCCGACUUCGGAAGGGAUGUAUUUAUUAGAUUAAAAACCAAUGCCCUCUGGGCUCUCUGGUGAUUCAUGAUAACUUCUCGAAUCGCAUGGCCUUGCGCCGGCGAUGGUUCAUUCAAAUUUCUUCCCUAUCAACUUUCGAUGUUUGGGUAGUGGCCAAACAUGGUUGCAACGGGUAACGGAGGGUUAGGGCUCGACCCCGGAGAAGGAGCCUGAGAAACGGCUACUACAUCCAAGGAAGGCAGCAGGCGCGCAAAUUACCCAAUCCCGACACGGGGAGGUAGUGACAAUAAAUACUGAUACAGGGCUCUUUUGGGUCUUGUAAUUGGAAUGAGUACAAUUUAAAUCCCUUAACGAGGAACAAUUGGAGGGCAAGUCUGGUGCCAGCAGCCGCGGUAAUUCCAGCUCCAAUAGCGUAUAUUAAAGUUGUUGUGGUUAAAAAGCUCGUAGUUGAACCUUGGGCCUGGCUGGCCGGUCCGCCUCACCGCGUGCACUGGUCCGGCCGGGCCUUUCCCUCUGUGGAACCCCAUGCCCUUCACUGGGUGUGGCGGGGAAACAGGACUUUUACUUUGAAAAGAUUAGAGUGCUCCAGGCAGGCCUAUGCUCGAAUACAUUAGCAUGGAAUAAUGAAAUAGGACGUGCGGUUCUAUUUUGUUGGUUUCUAGGACCGCCGUAAUGAUUAAUAGGGACAGUCGGGGGCAUCAGUAUUCAAUUGUCAGAGGUGAAAUUCUUGGAUUUAUUGAAGACUAACUACUGCGAAAGCAUUUGCCAAGGAUGUUUUCAUUAAUCAGGAACGAGAGUUAGGGGAUCGAAGACGAUCAGAUACCGUCGUAGUCUUAACCAUAAACUAUGCCGACUAGGGAUCGGACGAUGUUAUUUU
rnacentral:rRNA from 1 species